UUAUUUGAUAAGAGUAGCUAGUGUAUUUUUUCUCUAAACAUUCAUUUGACUUUUCACUGUUCUAAAAUUCCUUUGAAAACCGGACUUUAGCCGUUGUUGCUCUGUUACCGUAAAGCUGAGAAUGCGAGAGCCGUGAAAAUUCAGGAGCGGCUCAUUUGACACCGCAGUUCCGAAUGACGGCUGGCUUGACCGCAGUGACGGCAGGUAGGGGGAGGUGAGCGAGAGCUCAUCACACAACACUUCCAACUGCUCCUCCCUGAUCAUGCUGGGGUCCAUGCUCCAGUCUUCACUGAGUCAGACUGCUGACCUUCUCGCCAACAUAAGCAGGUGCAGGGGUUUAUUCAAAGUACAGAAUGAAGACCAUGCAGCAAUCCAGGAGGCAAUCGAGGACACCACGGUGGGAAUUUCCCUCCUAAUGGAAAGUGGCGAGGAAGAGGACAUUCUCAUGGUCCACAUCUCCCAGGCUUUGGUGGUCGACCCACCAAGUGUCAGAGUGGCAGUUGCCAAGGCUUUUUUGGCCUUAUUUACAGCACAAAUCUGAUUACCAUCCUCAUGUCAGAAACACCUUUGAGUUAAUCCAAAGAAAAACUGUAAUAGAGUUGUAGGGCAAAGUUGUGCCUAAGGUUUCAGGCUUAAAGAGCAGACUCUUUUAAUAAAAAUGACCUUUAAAAAGUUUUUCCUAAGAAGGGAUUCCAGCUGUUUGCUUUGGCUCUGUUAUCUUCUGUUUAAUAAAAAUAGCAAGCCCAAUUUA